rnacentral:rRNA from 1 species
CUACGUGCCAGCAGCCGCGGUAAUACGGAAGGUCCAGGCGUUAUCCGGAUUUAUUGGGUUUAAAGGGAGCGUAGGCGGAUUGUUAAGUCAGCGGUUAAAGGGUGUGGCUCAACCAUGCAUUGCCAUUGAUACUGGCGGGCUUGAGUGUAGAUGAGGUAGGCGGAAUGCGUGGUGUAGCGGUGGAAUGCAUAGAUAUCACGCAGAACUCCGAUUGCGAAGGCAGCUUACUAAGGUACAACUGACGCUGAAGCACGAAAGCGUGGGUAUCAAACAGGAUUAGAUACCCUGGUAGUCCACGCAGUAAACGAUGAUAACUGGGCGUAUGCGAUAUACAGUAUGCUCCUAAGCGAAAGCGUUAAGUUAUCCACCUGGGGAGUACGCCGGCAACGGUGAAACUCAAAGGAAUUGACGGGGGCCCGCACAAGCGGAGGAACAUGUGGUUUAAUUCGAUGAUACGCGAGGAACCUUACCCGGGAU